AGAGGGUGCAAGCGUUAAUCGGAAUUACUGGGCGUAAAGGGUGCGUAGGUGGUAUGUUAAGUCAGAUGUGAAAGCCCUGGGCUCAACCUGGGAACUGCAUUUGAAACUGGCAGACUAGAGUAUGGUAGAGGGAAGUGGAAUUUCCGGUGUAGCGGUGAAAUGCGUAGAUAUCGGAAGGAACACCAGUGGCGAAGGCGGCUUCCUGGACCAUAACUGACACUGAGGCACGAAAGCGUGGGGAGCAAACAGGGAUUAGAUACCCUGGUAGUCCACGCUGUAAACGAUGAGAACUAGAUGUUAGGGUGCUUGCACCUUAGUAUCGUAGCUAACGCGUUAAGUUCUCCGCCUGGGGAGUACGGCCGCAAGGUUA
rnacentral:rRNA from 1 species